rnacentral:lncRNA from 1 species
ACAAGGUUAACCUUUUUUCAAAAAAAAAAGAGGUGAAGUUUCUCCGAGAUAAUGUUCAUCAAGAAUUAGAUAUUAUUACUGACGUAUACGGAAUCAUGUAGCAGCAUGCAUGCUAUAAUCAUCGGAACCGUUGGAAGGACAGAGAGUGAGGAAAGUGAAUAGUUCAUUUGUACGUGAUAAGCAUGAGUUGACUCAUGGCGACUAAUUUACAUAUAUGCACAAAUUAUGAUGUGACAAAAUUCUUA